UACGGGGGGGGCAAGCGUUGUUCGGAAUUACUGGGCGUAAAGGGCCCGUAGGCGGCCAACUAAGUCGGAUGUGAAAUCCCCAGGCUUAACCUGGGAACUGCAUCCGAUACUGGAUGGCUUGAAUUCGGGAGAGGGAUGCAGAAUUCCAGGUGUAGCGGUGAAAUGCGUAGAUAUCUGGAGGAACACCGGUGGCGAAGGCGACAUCCUGGACCGGUAUUGACGCUGAGGCGCGAAAGCCAGGGGAGCAAACGGG
rnacentral:rRNA from 1 species